ensembl:snoRNA Gm24070 predicted gene, 24070
CUUGCUUCUAGAGGCAUUGCAGAUAUGGCUGCUGUGUCACAUAUACAUGAAUAGGUGGCAGAGAGGAAAGAGGUCAUGUCUAUGCUCAGUUCUGACCUGUGAACAUCUGAAUGAUCAAUGGCCUAACAUU